rnacentral:rRNA from 1 species
AUACGUAGGGUGCAAACGUUGUUCGGAAUCACUGGGCAUAAAGCGCACGUAGGCGGCCAAGUAAGUUCGGUGUGAAAGCCCUCGGCUCAACCGGGGAACUGCAUCGGAUACUGCUUGGCUUGAGGACGGUUGGGGUGAGUGGAACUCCUGGUGGAGCGGUGAAAUGCGUAGAUAUCAGGAGGAACACCAGUGGCGAAAGCGGCUCACUGAACCGUAUCUGACGCUGAGGUGCGAAAGCUAGGGUAGCGAACGGGAUUAGAAACCCCUGUAGUCC